AAAUAUUUGGCACCAAGGCGCACAGAGGAAACUUCAUCUUCAACCUUCAGCAUGAUUUAUGCAAAUCAUGAACUCAUGUUUUUAGCGACACCUAAGCAUGGUGUUAGCUUAGCAACACAUCAUCGUUCAUGUCUCCCUACAUCAUAGUCAUUGAUUGGCUCAGAGUAGGGAGAAUUUUGCUCAAGAACAUGAAGAAGCAUAAGUGUUCAAAGUAAAAUUAAAUGAAUAAUAUGAAAGAUAAAUGAAUCACAAUUGAGGGAUUUUGAUCAG
rnacentral:lncRNA from 1 species